GGCCUCAAGUGAUGUGUUUUGCAAGUGAGAUUUGCUGAUCCAAGGAUGAUUAAGUUGCUUUUAUAAAAUUCAAAUUACUUAAUGAGGAUGUUCCGAAAAAAACCGCCUGAUCAUCUUCUAUGACACAGAUCUUACCCAUGAGAAGUGACCUCCAUUAUCAAUUUUUAAAAAAUGACAGACCAUUUUGAAGCUGAUGUUGAUGUUAAGACUACCAAUGAUUAUUUGCUUCAUCUCUUCAGUGCUGGUUUUACUAAGAAUUGCAACAAUCAAAUUUGAAAGUCCUCUUAUGCUCAGCACACACAGAUUCAUCAAAUCCGGAAGAAGAAGAUGGAAAUCAUGAUCCAAGAGGAGCAGGCAAGUGCCUUGAAAAAAGUGGUUAAUAAAUUAAUUGCAGAAAGCAGUGGAAAAUACCUAGAAAAGUUUGCAAUCCAUUUAUUCUCUCCAUGAUGUCUCCUAUAAAAUAGAAAACAUGUUGAGGAAGCCGAAGUUCAAGAAUUGGGAAAACUCUUGAAGCUUUAUAGAAAAGCAGUAAUUUUGAAAUGCUACUGAGAAUGAGACAGGGGCUAAAGUUGAAUGACUUGAUGGAUUUGAGUCAGCGGUCCAAGAGUCUGCUUAAAAUUCAGAUUUUUAUUAGAGACAAAUGAAGAGUUUUAUUUAAGAAAGAAGGAAAGAAAGAAAGGAAGGAA
ensembl:lncRNA novel transcript